rnacentral:rRNA from 1 species
GAUGAACGCUGGCGGCGUGCCUAAUACAUGCAAGUCGAGCGAACAGACGAGGAGCUUGCUCCUCUGACGUUAGCGGCGGACGGGUGAGUAACACGUGGAUAACCUACCUAUAAGACUGGGAUAACUUCGGGAAACCGGAGCUAAUACCGGAUAAUAUAUUGAACCGCAUGGUUCAAUAGUGAAAGACGGUUUUGCUGUCACUUAUAGAUGGAUCCGCGCCGCAUUAGCUAGUUGGUAAGGUAACGGCUUACCAAGGCAGCGAUGCGUAGCCGACCUGAGAGGGUGAUCGGCCACACUGGAACUGAGACACGGUCCAGACUCCUACGGGAGGCAGCAGUAGGGAAUCUUCCGCAAUGGGCGAAAGCCUGACGGAGCAACGCCGCGUGAGUGAUGAAGGUCUUCGGAUCGUAAAACUCUGUUAUUAGGGAAGAACAAAUGUGUAAGUAACUAUGCACGUCUUGACGGUACCUAAUCAGAAAGCCACGGUUAACUACGUG